UUAUCCUACGGGGCGCAGCAGUGAGGAAUAUUGGUCAAUGGUCGGGAGACUGAACCAGCCAAGCCGCGUGAGGGAUGAAGGUACAGAGUAUCGUAAACCUCUUUUGUCAGGGAACAAAGGCGGGGACGGGGCCCCGGAUGAGUGUACCUGAAGAAAAAGCAUCGGCUAACUCCGUGCCAGCAGCCGCGGUAAUACGGAGGAUGCGAGCGUUAUCCAGAUUUAUUGGGUUUAAAGGGUGCGCAGGCGGUCUGUUAAGUCUGGAGUGAAAGGUAACGGCUCAACCGGUACAGGGUCUGGGAACUGGG
rnacentral:rRNA from 1 species